rnacentral:lncRNA from 1 species
CAUAAACAAAGUCUUUUGGAUUGUGCAUAAUUGGCACUGCCACUACCUCUGGUCUUCUUAGGUACAUCCGAUUGCUUACAACUGCACAUCUUUGCCCAUACUGGCUUUUUUUCAUGGAACCAUAUUUCCUCACCUCCACCCCCACUCAACAGUGACUAUUUGAAAUAAGAGGAAAUGCUUCUGUGGUUUUUUGGCUGGAGUCACUGUUGCCCCACUGAGCAUCACAGGAGGCAGCAGGGCCAUGGCUGUGCCCAGGGAAGAUCUCUGCUGCAGAGCUUCUCUCUGCAAACUGACCCCAAGGAGGCUGUUCUUCCAUCAAAGUGCAAAGAGUUGAAGCAGCAGGUGUAGUAUCAAGGAUGACAAGUCUUUACCACCUUCAUCUCUGAGAAAAGCAGCAGCAUAAUGAAGAUAAAUAGGAAUUUUACAGACAGGCUUUAAGUGGAAGCAAUGCCACAGCAGUGCUCAGCCACAGUGCUCCUCAUCAGCUUACUUCUCAAGCACAUGGAAAUCCAGUCAACAGCUCUGAGGGGAGCAGUUCCAUCACUGAGACCCCAGGGAUGCUGCAGGUGGAGGGGACAGAGUGCAGAGCACCAGUCUGAUGUACGAUGUACACGCUCGUGUGCAGCCUCAAGAAGCCCAUGCUCAGCUGAGCAAAUGACUUCACAGCACAGCUGUCAGCCAGGAACUAAAGAUUCAUGUUUGGGCCAGAAAAAAAAAAAGUGUGAAUCAGAACUAUCUACAGUAAACAGAAAGCGGAACUGGAGCUUGCUGAUACUAUGGUCUGCCAGGAACAGGAGCUGUUAUUGCAAGUCUGAAGGAUUUUAUACCUCUCUGAUAGCUUGUAUACCAUCUGAAUCUUAUUAAACUGCUUGUGCCCGACCUGGAGCCUGGAGCCUUACUGAGGAGCCUUAAUGCUAAUAACAAAAUAGACCUUAAUGAACACAGCUUCAGAGAGAAAUAAUAACAAAUUUGAGCGAAUUCUUGGAAAGGAUUUUACUAUCAGCAGUG